rnacentral:pre_miRNA from 1 species
AACAUACUCCCUCCGUCCCAAAAUAAGUGACUCAAAAAUGACACAAUUUUACACUACUUUAGUGCAAAAUUGAGUCACUUUUGAGUCACUUAUUUUGGGAUGGAGGGAGUACAAA